rnacentral:rRNA from 1 species
AUUGAACGCUGGCGGCAGGCCUAACACAUGCAAGUCGAGCGAGUGGCGGACGGGUGAGUAAUGUAUGGGAAACUGCCUGAUAGAGGGGGAUAACUACUGGAAACGGUGGCUAAUACCGCAUACCAUCGGAUGUACCCAUAUGGGAUUAGCUUGUUGGUGGGGUAACGGCUCACCUAGGCGACGAUCUCUAGCUGGUCUGAGAGGAUGAUCAGCCACACUGGGACUGAGACACGGCCCAGACUACUACGGGGGGCAGCAGUGGGGAAGAUUGCACAAUGGGCGCAAGCCUGAUGCAGCCAUGCCGCGUGUAUGAAGAAGGCCUUAGGGUUGUAAAGUACUUUCAGCGGGGAGGCGUUACCCGCAGAAGAAGCACCGGCUAACUCCGUGCCAGCAGCCGCGGUAAUAC